UCCGUAGGCGGGUUUAUAAGUCAGUGGUGAAAGUUUGCGGCUCAACCGUAAAAUUGCCAUUGAUACUGUAGAUCUUGAAUUAGUGUGAAGUGGUUAGAAUAAGUAGUGUAGCGGUGAAAUGCAUAGAUAUUACUUAGAAUACCAAUUGCGAAGGCAGAUCACUAACACUAUAUUGACGCUGAUGGACGAAAGCGUGGGGAGCGAACAGGAUUAGAUACCCUGGUAGUC
rnacentral:rRNA from 1 species